UCACCCGAGUGUCAGUGAAGAAAAGUGCGCGAUGGAAUUAAAUUCUGUGAAAAAUGACAAAAGAGUAGUUUUCUAAGUGAAUCCACAAAGGAUAUUUGUAAAGAAGUGAGUGUGUCAUGAAAGCAAUGUUCUUAUUAUCGUUAGGAGGUACUGAUACAAUUUCCUUGCUCGAGCAAUUAUAUUAUCCAAUGAUUUGGGCGAUGUUCUACAUAGAUUUGCUGCAAAAUCGGAGUAUAUCACAGGUUGUACUGGUGGUCCAGGUGGUUCACAUUUGAACACCGCACAACAUGAGUCCGUGAAGCGAGUAAUUCAUCAAAUUUGGACAUACUCAUAAUUGAUCCUUCCAUAGAUAUUCAAACCGAAGAGGACUCAGAACUAACUAGUGUUUUCUCCAAAAUGUUUGGAAAUCCAGGAAAAAUAAUCGAAUGUAUGGAAAAUAUAUGCCACUUGGUAUUAGACUUCUAGAAUUUCACCGAAAGAGCAUUAUCUAAGGGAAACUCCAGAAUGUAAAAGGAAAAUCUCAGAGUGUAUUAAAAAAAAUUGCGGAAUGUAACAAAUUAUACACAACUUUGGAUGUAAGAAAAUGCUCAUUGAAUAUUACAAAAUUCUAGGUUAGAUUUGCUAUGUUCGAAGUUUCAUGAUUUUCUAAUUUCCAAUUUGCAUUUCCAUGACAUAAAUAACUUAUUAAGUAUAAGAAGAGAUUAUAAUAUUAGAAAUAGAGUUAUGCCCAAGACUCCUUAACAAAUAAUUUUAAAAAUAUAUUUACAAAAAAAAGUUAUUGUGCAAUGAGUAUUACAUUUUUAAUCAAUCAACUGAAGUGUAAUAAUCAGAUGGAGAUAUAAUCAAACAGCCAAUAAAAUCAUAAGGCA